GUCGGACUUCGCGGAAGUUGGGGUUCCCCAGAGUUGAGGUUCAAACUUCCCGCCGGAAGCCACCUGAGAUGGCAUGUCAUUCCCAGAGGAUCCCUUCUGGUCAGAAAAAGAUCUGGGAAUCUUCUUAAUAGCAAGACCAAGGCAGCUUCAAUAACCAGUGUACAGGUGACAAGGUGGCAAACAAGACUGACACACACAUCAGACACUUGGGCUACACAAGGAGAACCUCUUGUCCGCUGGCAUGACUGACCAUGCUCCAGGACUCAAUGAUAGGAACACAAAAGGACCAGCAGGAUGGGAGAGAGGAAGAGAGAAACAGAGAGAGAGGAUGUGCAACACCAGGGUCUCCACC